UUGAAAAAUCGCUGAAGAUGCAAUAUAGUUAAUCGGUGUUUAAAUAUAAAAAAUAUAUAAAAAACUCUGUUUUUUUUUAGUUUUUGUGGGAAAAUGCUUAUUUAAGUAAAAAGUGAAUUUUAUUUUAUUUUAACAGUGUUAAGUGAGAUUAAAUAUUCCAAAAUUUUCCCCAAAUCAUUUGUGCAAUAUUCGACAUUGCGUGUGUGUAUCCAUAGAAUAUCUUCUACAACUUACUUUGUGUGUGCGCUUGUGUCGGUUCCUUUGUGUCUCAUUAGCGGCAGACACUAGUAGUUCCCAUCUCACCAAAAAUAUACAAAAUAUACAACAAAUUUAGCAACAAGUAGUGUGCACGAUUUUAAAAUAAACGAAAUUCGAUUUUCCUCUCCAAAUGUGUGCGUAUGUGUGUGCACCGUGUGCUGUAUGUUGCGAUGAUCUGCUCGUUGUGAUAAACGCCAGUUGCACAGCGUGAUUUUCAAAACAUAUUGCAUAUUUAUAAGUAUAUUGCAACACCUACAUAUAAGUAUGUGCACACAUAUGUACAUACAUAUAUAAAUUAUAUAUACAUAAGUGCUAUUGUUUCCAAAAAAAAACCGUUAGUUGCGAUUUGUGUUGAAUAUGCGCUUGUGCAAUUUGUUAUCAAUAAGAAGCACACAUUGAAAAUAAGUGGAAAAGUAAUUAGUUGCCGCCACCAUGUCGUCGCGGCGCGCCCAAUCCUUACCGCCACAUAUGUUGGAUCAAAAGCCGACGCGUGGAAAAUGUAUAACGGCAAUUUGUUUCUCAUGGAAGGUGAUUUCCUGCGUAGUGUCGCACGUGAUUCUCGUACUGAUGGUGGUGUCGUAUUGUGUUGGAGGCGCUUACCUAUUCCAACAUCUGGAAAAGCCCCAUGAAAUCGAAGUUAAAAAAGAUAUACAAAACCUGCGUCUCAACUUGACCGAUAAAAUUUGGCGUUUCUCCGACAAUGCUUCAGUGCUGUCCGAAACUGAUUGGAUCACCAAUGUAAAGAAGGACUUAGCCGGUUUCGAAACACAAAUAGUGACCGCCAUAAAAACGAAUGGAUGGGAUGGGGAUGAAGACGUUACGAAGUCGCAGUGGACCUUUGCGGGCUCACUUUUUUACUCGAUCAUCGUUAUCACAACUAUAGGCUACGGACAUAUAUCACCGCGGACGGAUUGGGGUAAAGUUACAACCAUUUUCUAUGCCAUUGUGGGCAUACCACUCAUGUUGCUAUGUCUGUCCAAUAUUGGAGAUGUAAUGGCCACUUCUUUCAGAUUCAUAUAUUGGCGUGUUUGUUGCUAUGUUUGCACACGCGCUGCACGGCGCCCACGCCGACCGCGACAACGCUCUGGACGCGGCCAACGGUAUACUUCACGUUCACAGCCGCCACCGAUACGCCGUUCAAUGCGACUCACCCAGCGCUCCAUGGCUGAUUCGGGUUUCGGCAAUUCUGCUGGAGUACCACAUGCAUACUCAGAUCCGGAUUUGCGUUCUGGGCGAUAUGAUUACGAAGGUGGACGUAAUAGCGGACGACGACAACGCAGCCGACAGAUACCGCCUUAUCAAUAUGACCAACAGUAUUACGAUGAGGGUCCACGGCAGACACAGACACUUAAUCGUGGCUCUAGGUUCGGACGCAGCCUGCGCAAUCGCGAAAGCAUGCGCGGUCGACACACGGUCGAGCGUGAGCGUUAUCUUGGGCAUCCCAAACAGCGACCAGACUCCUUUGAAGAUCUCAACGCACCACAAGCAAAGCGCUCACACAGCAUGCGAUCGGUGCGCGGUUCAAGCGCGCGUCGCGACAUUGGUCCACCACCGCACUCGUUACGACAUGACGCACGUGAAGCACAUGAAUUACGCGAAGCGCCGCCACGCGAAACGAGGGAAAUGCGCGAAAUCAAUAGAAUGAAUCCGCGCACCAUGCAACGCGGUCGCUCAGUGCCGCAUGCGCCACCUGCGGCACGCGCGAAAUCCGUAGAUCCACGUAUGCACUACGACGACGCCGUCGAUGAGGAAGUUGUGCGCAAGACGCCCAUCAUCCCCAAUCGCUAUGCAAUUGAUGAACUCGACCAUUAUCGCGAUCACCACCGCGAGCCUCGUGGCAAACACAUGCCGCGCAGUCACUCAAUGCCGCGUUCGGCGCUGCAAAAAAAUGGUUAUAACAAGGAUCAACGUAGUAACGGUGUUAGUUCGUAUCAUUCGCAUCACAAUCAACCGCGUCACGCAUCUCCGCAGCCACCACAUCGCCAACACUCCGGUCAUCACUCGCAUUAUGGCGAUCGCUUGGAAUUGCCCGAGUUCACUCACCCUCAAAUGAACCACACAAAACGCGGUCGCUCACCGGCGCCCUUCGAUGAUUACGACGAUGAAUACGAUGACUACUAUUUAGAUGAUCGUGAUGUAUACUAUGAUGACUACGACAAUCGUGAGAUGGCGUAUCAACCUAGGCAUAGAGAUCGGCGGUAUCGAAGAGAACGUCCGGAACGCUUGCCGCCUUCACCGCGCAUCAUGUCUCCCAUGGGAUUCCCGGUAAAGCGUCAGGUACGUCCCCGCUACAGCUAUGAUUACGAUGACGACUCUAACUAUGGUGACGAUUGGAGCGACUACUACGGUGAUAUUUCGCCAAAGGAUCGCCCAGUGCCGAUCUGGCUUUGCGUAUUUUUGGUCAUCAGCUAUAUUUUGGGUGGCGCGGUACUUUUUGCUUAUUGGGAGAAAUGGUCGUUCUUGGACUCUGCCUAUUUCUGUUUCAUUACUUUAACCACAAUCGGUUUUGGCGACUUCGUGCCCGCUAAGGGUGUGAAAGACGAAUCGGAGCAGUCCAUCGCUUACUGUUCGCUAUAUUUGCUAUUCGGCAUAGCGCUUCUGGCGAUGAGUUUCAACCUGGUGCAAGAGGAAUUCAUUUGCAACGUCAAAGAGGUGGCGCGACGCUUGGGAAUUUUAAAGGAUGAAGAAGACGACGAUUAAGUGUGACGAGAACAUCUUUAUUUUUAUUUUAAUUUUUCGUUUUUGUUUUACAAAUCAGCAAAGCAGAUACAAAAGCGCAAGCAAAAUAUUUACACAAAAAUAACGGUUAAAAAGUGAAGCAAUUUUAAAUUGUAUACAUUUAAAAAUAAAGAUACAAGAAAGUAAGAGGAAGAGAUUACGAAAAUAAAAAAAUAAUAAGUUUGAAUUGAAUUUUACAAAUACAUUCAAUGGCGACAAUAAACGAACGGACACAACGAAGGUACUGCUGCAGAUUGACACUACUCAUUUUACUCCUCAUAUAAUUAUAUAGUAUAGUAUUUGUAUUUAUUGUAUUUAAACUUUUAAAAAGCUGUUUUUAAUGCAACAAAUUUUUAUUGUAAAUUUUUGUUGUAAUUGCAUGCAAGUUCAAUAAAUUUCGAAAUUUCAUAGCAGUGACUUAUGCAUUCGGCUCA